UACGUAGGGGGCAAGCGUUAUCCGGAUUUAUUGGGUUUAAAGGGUGCGUAGGCGGACGCUUAAGUCAGCGGUAAAAUUGCGGGGCUCAACCUCGUCGAGCCGUUGAAACUGGGUGUCUUGAGUGGGCGAGAAGUACGCGGAAUGCGUGGUGUAGCGGUGGAAUGCAUAGAUAUCACGCAGAACUCCGAUUGCGAAGGCAGCGUACCGGCGCCCAACUGACGCUGAAGCACGAAGGCGUGGGUAUCGAACAGG
rnacentral:rRNA from 1 species